rnacentral:rRNA from 1 species
GACAUUAGCUANNNNNNGGGUAACGGCCCACCAAGGCUUCGAUGUUUAGGNGCUUUGAGNNNAGAAUCCCCCACACUNNNACUGAGACACGGACCNNNNNNCUACGGGAGGCAGCAGUAAGGAAUAUUGGUCAAUGGAGGGAACUCUGAACCAGCCANNNNNNGUGCAGGAUGACUGCCCUAUGGGUUGUAAACUGCGUUUGUCAGGGAAUAAACCUUUCUACGUGUAGGAAGCUGAAUGUACCUGAAGAAUAAGGAUCGGNNNACUCCGUGCCAGCAGCCNNNNNNAUACGGAGGAUCCAAGCGUUAUCCGGAUUUAUUGGGUUUAAAGGGUNCNUAGGCGGUCCUAUAAGUCAGUGGUGAAAGACGGCAGCUUAACUGUCGCAGUGCCUUUGAUACUGUAGGACUUGAAUCUAUUUGAAGUGGGCGGAAUAAGACAAGUAGCGGUGAAAUGCAUAGAUAUGUCUUAGAACUCCGAUUGCGAAGGCAGCUCACUAAGUUAGUAUUGACGCUGAUGCACGAAAGCGUGGGGAUCAAACAGGAUUAGAUACCCUGGUAGUCCACGCCCUAAACGAUGAUAACUCGAUGUUUGCGAUACACAGUAAGCGUCCAAGCGAAAGCGUUAAGUUAUCCACCUGGGGAGUACGGUCGCAAGAUUGAAACUCAAAGGAAUUGACGGGGGCCCGCACAAGCGGAGGAGCAUGUGGUUUAAUUCGAUGAUACGCGAGGAACCUUACCCGGGCUUGAAAGUUAGUGAAUGAUCCAGAGACGGAUCAGUCCUUCGGGACNNGAAACUAGGUGCUGCAUGGCUGUCGUCAGCUCGNGCCGUGAGGUGUUGGGUUAAGUCCCGCAACGAGCGNNACCCCUAUGUUUAGUUGCCAGCACAUUAAGGUGGGGACUCUAAACAGACUGCCAGCGUAAGCUGUGAGGAAGGUGGGGACGACGUCAAGUCAUCAUGGCCCUUACGUCCGGGGCUACACACGUGCUACAAUGGAUGGUACAGCGGGCAGCUACAUAGCAAUAUNNUGCUAAUCUCUAAAAGCCAUUCACAGUUCGGAUUGACGUCUGCAACUCGACCUCAUGAAGU